UACGUAGGGUGCAAGCGUUAAUCGGAAUUACUGGGCGUAAAGCGUGCGCAGGCGGUGAUGUAAGACAGUUGUGAAAUCCCCGGGCUCAACCUGGGAACUGCAUCUGUGACUGCAUUGCUGGAGUGCGGCAGAGGGGGAUGGAAUUCCGCGUGUAGCAGUGAAAUGCGUAGAUAUGCGGAGGAACACCGAUGCGAAGGCAAUCCCCUGGGCCUGCACUGGACGCUCAUGCACGAAAGCGUGGGGAGCAAACAGG
rnacentral:rRNA from 1 species